GUAGGUGAACCUGCGGAAGGAUCAUUACCGGACUGUGAAGGGUGACGAGCUCUAUCGUUUCUGCCCCGUGUGGGUGGAGCGGCUCGCUGCGCCCGACACUUUCCGCCGCUGGCCCCGCUUGGACGCGGGGACGGCUAUACCCGAACAUGCGCGGGGACUGCCUGAAUUCUGAGGGGCGCCCCGUGCCCAAUUUGUUGCGCCCAGCGGGCGGCGGCUGCAACCUUGGACGGUUGGCUUGGCUGCGCCCGUGGGUACAAACGGCGUAACGCACUUUCAUGGGUGGGCUUUCGGUCCGCCUCGACGCUCAUGCGCGGAAUGGGAGUAAGACGACCCGACAUGCUUUGCCCAGUACGAAAGGAACGGUAGAGGUCGGUCAAGGAACUGGCGGUCGAGAGCAAAAGCUGCCUGCCAUCCAUCAUCAAUAGUUGGAACUGCGGUGCAAGCGCUCUCCCGUCCUCCGCGGCAAACGCCGCCGAGUCUGAAAAGGCUGGCGGCUGCCGGUCGCUUCCUGCGGCGAGUAUGGAGUAACGACCCGACUAUGUUGCUACCCAAGUACUGAAGGAACGGCGUGGCAUUCGGUCGGUCAUGGAACUGGCGGUACGAGGGUGUGGCUGCCAAGUACAAUAGGAACCGUGGCCCAUAGCGCCCUCCCGUCCUCCGCGGCAAAUGCCACCGAGUGCCCGAUAGGGCCGGAGGCUGCCGGUCGGCUCCUGCUCGUGACGCGCGAGAUGUCGAGAUCGCGGUUUAAUGCGACGACGUUGGCAGGCUAUUCGCCCGCUGCCGAGGGAAAGGCGGCGCUGCUGCGAAGUACGAGAGGAAACGCGGCUUUGCUACGUCGUACGCGUUCCGCGGUUAACGGACUUGUGCGCUUUGGGAAGGCGCCGCACGUCGAAAGAGGAUUUACGGACGGACGAGGGACUGAAGUCUCGAAACUAGAACGCACUUGCGGCCAGCCCCUUGCUGGCUUCGUCUUCCGCCUCGAGUAGAAUUGUUGCGGCUCCGGCGCCGAAAGCUGUCCCUGGCACUGGCCGAGUGGUUUUGGAGAGCCGCGCGAGUACGCGCGCCGGGCUCUUGUCUGUCGUCUCAAGUAGGCUGCCGGAUCAGCAGCGGGUGUGCUGCGGCAAUCCGCCGAUGCGAAAGCGUGUUUGUGUGUGAGGGACAUUGUGGUCAAUUAGACAACCCUACUGAUGACUGAAGCGAGACACGUCGAUGGGGGCGAGACCCCACCCGUGGCCGUGUAGCCGUGAAAGACUCCACAGCCGCUCGUGCCCUUUCAUGGCCUUGUGGCUUUUUUUCAAUUUUCGUGGAGCAUUGUGAACGUGCACACGAAGCACACGGGUCCGGAGGAGGUUGGCUGGCAAAACCGGCUUCGAGUGCUCGCAAAAAAGAAAAAGACGUGGUCACGGGGAGCCACGCACCCGCGGGUGUGUAGCCGUGAGUGACUCCACUGCAUCUUGGUCCUACAACUGAUCCUGGUGCAAACAGAGUGGAGGCUUGCGCGCACACAAGGGCAGCUCGCGGGGUUAGCUGCAAACGCAACACGCAAGUAGCAGGGUGUGGUGCGCCUAUAUGCUACCAACUGUUUUGAGACGCGGCUGUCGAAAAAGCGCAGACUCGAGGAGCGCGCGCAGAAAGGUGCCUUUCGAAACCACACACAGGGAGACGCCACGUGCCUAAAACCCUGGUUGUACUGUACUGAAUUGAACAAACUACUUUUCACGACUCUAAGCGGUGGAUCACUCGGUUCUCGGGUCGAUGAAGAACGCAGCCAGCUGCGAGACUUGGUGUGAAUUGCAGGACACACUGAGCACUGAUUCUUUGAACGCACAUUGCGGCCUUGGGUCUUCCCUUGGCUUCGUCUGUCUGAGGGUCGGAUCACAUAUCAAGAGAGCCUUCGGCGCACAGGGAACGUGCGUCCGUCGACUCGUUUUGACCGCGUCGGCAUCACGGACAGUACGUUGAGUGCUGAAGCCACGCGCCAGCGGCCUCACGUGAGGAAGACGGUGGCGAACUGAACUGUUGUGCCAAAACUUCGCAGAGACUGAAACGAGGCAUUGUACUACUGCAGCACGACGAGCGCGCGCCUCCGAAGAGAACCGCCGCAGGAUGGAGUCGGACACCUGCAGGGAAAGUGCGGUCUGAGCGCGAGGCGCGAACGUCUGUUGCAACAGCAGUAGCGCGCACGUUUGCGAGAGAGUCGGAAGUGCCCGCUUGCGCGCACGGACAACGCGGGAAGCAAACGCCGGCCGAUUCCCGCGCCGUGCGCGAAGCAAGCGAGCGCGAUCGCACGUUGCGUUGUUUGCCUUCGGAGUACGUCGAGCUCUAGCAGAAGGUCGCUCGUCCGCGUCACCGCACGGGUGCAGGCGCCCUAGUCCGGGUUUCGUCGCAGGAAUAAGAGUCGGAAAAGAUUCUUGCGCGGAGCGGGGAGGACAAGGGUGCGCCCCGGAGCGGUAGUGACGCGGUUACGCGAGUGCGCCGUCUGCGAGAAGCGAAGAAAACGGCACGACUGAAUAGUCGCCGCGAAGCGGAAAAUGUCUCCCUCGAAAGCGUGAGUUUGCCCGUUGGCGGAGCUGAAGCGUUCCGUCGUAGUCCGCCGUCGGUCCAAGUGCUUCGCAGUCUCUGCCCUUAAAAAGACUGGGCCACUCCAGUUGGGGGCAGGGGCGACGCUACACUAGACGAUGCCCUGUGCCAGGCUAGAGUCGUCCUGUGGCGCCCGCUGAAGCGGUGCGCUGCGAGGGUGGCAUGCCUCGGCGGUGUUUGGGCUUCAGACACGGUCGUUUGCCACGCAACUGCUCGUGCGACGCACGCGCGCUAAGGCGGUUCAAGAAACCACCUGCCAGCCUCGUCUAUAAGUAGCUCCGUGUUGGGCGAAGGACGUGGUAGGGCGUCGUACUCGGUUUGCGCUGGGCUUUCGAACGUGUCGAGUCCUUUCCAGCACGCUGGAAGGGGCGAAAGCGAUGUAUCCGUUGUCGACCUCAGAUCAGGCGAGACAA
rnacentral:rRNA from 1 species